CAGCAGCCGCGGUAAUACGUAGGGUGCAAGCGUUAAUCGGAAUUACUGGGCGUAAAGCGUGCGCAGGCGGUUUGUUAAGACAGGUGUGAAAUCCCCGGGCUCAACCUGGGGACUGCAUUUGUGACUGGCAAGCUAGAGUGUGGCAGAGGGGGGUGGAAUUCCGCGUGUAGCAGUGAAAUGCGUAGAGAUGUGGAGGAAUACCGAUGGCGAAGGCAGCCCCCUGGGCCAAUACUGACGCUCAUGCACGAAAGCGUGGGGAGCAAACAGGAUUAGAUACCCCGGUAGUCCCUGUCUCUUAUAC
rnacentral:rRNA from 1 species